CGAUAAUAAUGAUUAUGAGGGGCAGCAAUGAUGAUGUUGGAAAUCUAAUUCUACAUUUGCUCCUUGGGGAUAUAUACCUCCCUUAUCUGGAACUCUAGAAACUUUGGGGAGUACUUGGGCUGCUCAUUUAUUUUUUUUCUUUCUUGGGACAUUUGUCCUCUUUUUUUAAGAUCAACCGAGCCUCUUAAUAGAACUAUAUCUGUAGGGAGUAUUAACUGAAGUAACUGGAACUUUAUUGGAUGACGGGAAAAGGGUAGGAUGGCAACACAUAUUUUUGGUGUUCACUCCCAUUGUAGGAGCAGAACAUUUUCUAGGUGAAUGGAGUGUAUGCAUAUGAAUAGUGGAAUGCAUACUCCUAGGGUAGGAGUAGCAUAGGUGUGUGUUACCUAGGUAAAAAAUAGCACAUGAUGCAUGGGGUGUGUAUAUAUGUGGGU
rnacentral:lncRNA from 1 species